ACGUUCAUACCACGCUGAAUACACCGGUUCUCGUCCGAUCACCGAAGUUAAGCAGCGUCGGGCUCGGUCUGAAUUUAGAUGGGUGACCGACCGCCUGGGAAUAUCACGUGAUG